CUAAUCCUACGGGGGGCAGCAGUGGGGAAUAUUGCACAAUGGGGGAAACCCUGAUGCAGCAAUGCCGCGUGGGUGAAAAAGUACUCCGGUAUGUAAAGCCCUAUCAGCAGGGAAGAAAAUGACGGUACCUGACUAAGAAGCCCCGGCUAACUACGUGCCAGCAGCCGCGGUAAUACGUAGGGGGCGAGCGUUAUCCGGAUUUACUGGGUGUAAAGGGAGCGCAGGCGGCGUGGCAAGUCAGAUGUGAAAACCAGGGGCACAACCCCGGGACUGCAUUUGAAACUGCCAUGCUGGAGUGCCGGAGG
rnacentral:rRNA from 1 species